GGAACUUCCUCCUUAUUUGAGCCAUCUGCCUAGGAAAUGAAACUCAAGCAGGAAGAAGAUACAGAGAUAUUAUGACACAGCAGCUCAGAGGAAGAGGAAAGAGAGAAGCUACAGGAUACAUCAUUCAGUAACAGAAAAGUGUGAAGCCAGAAGUUCCUGGCAGCAUGGGGUAUCUGCAAGGAGCUGCACUGGAGAGGUUACAGACGUGGGCCUGUGCCGGGCCAGGAGGUUUUCUGGAUGAGCUGGAAGGAAAGGAAAAAGUUUUGAAAUGAACAAUGCCUGGACUAGAGCGGCAGUUGGAAGAUGGUGACAACCAUCAGAUUCUGGAAAUAGUCUGAAGAUGGAUGCAAAUGGAUCUCCUGAAGAAUUGGGCAUGAAGUAUAAGAAAAAGAAGGAGUCAAAGAUAAAUCCAAGUUUUGGCCUGAGUAACUGGAAAGACAGUACAGCCAAGAAGUGGCACACCCUUGCCCUUUGAUGGGAAGUUACAAACACCUUCUCCCGCCCUGUACUCUUGAUUCCAUUUCCUCAUCUUUGUAUUCUAAACAGUAAAUGACCACCUUCCAUAAUUGAGUUAUUAUGCCAUGUUUAUUACCUAUUGUGGGGCUCUUCCAAAUAAAACAUGAGCUCCACCAGGACGUGGCACGAACAUAUGUGUCCGAUUUUAUCCUGACACAACCACAUUUGUCUAGAUAUAUCCCAUGUGCCUAAAUCAAUGACUGGCUAUUUUAGUAGGUGCUCAUUAUUCACUGAAUUUAUGGGUAGAAAAAUUCAGGAACCAAAAAGUUGAAUUACUUGCCUAGUGUCAUAUAGCUAGGAAAUAGCAAUCAUGGAUUUACCCACAGGUCUCUUUCUGGUCCAGUCCACAUUUUUGCUAUUACUUCUUAAUUAUGCCUUGGCUAUAAUAGUAAAGUCAAUGUUUCUAUCUGUUGAAACAGAUAUUUCUGCCCUGUGGUUUAUUGCUAUUAGAUGGUGUUGUGAAAUGAGGUAGGAGGAUGUUUCUGAUUGCAAAUAUUAACGAGUAAUAAACCAUUUUUAAUUGAUUCAUUACAUUGGAUUUAUUAUACCGAAGAGGAGUAGGCCCAGAGAGAGUGACCUAGACUCCUGAGUCAAAAGACAGGGCUUGAGGACUGCCUCUGCUACUUGUCUGUUAGGUAAUCUCAGGGAAGUUGAUGAUCUUCCCUCAACCUCAAACUCCUUGUCUAUAAAAUAUAUUCAUUGUAUCAUCCACCCUAGGCUUGUAGAUUAUUGUAGAGAUAUAAAGUAACAAGGUCAGUAAAUUAUAAUAAGCUUAUAAAUAUUUUAUGAAGAUGGCUUAAAUUUGGUGAAAUUGUAGAAAGCAAUGAAACAUGCUCUACCUGCUAUGUCAAUAUAUUCACUAAAUGGCAUCUUAUUUUUGGUAACAUAUAAAAAAAUUUUUUUCCCUUCCAAUCCCAUUGGCUUCACUUUCUCCACACUUUUCCUCCUUGAACAAGAUUGCUAAUGAAAUCAUCAGGGUCCCCUCAAAGAGAAGUCUCCCUCUAUGCACCCCUACCCUUCUCUGACUCAGCCCAAACGUUAUAAACACACAUUCACCUCCACGGAUCUGAACUUGAGAACCCACCUAAGACUCUUGCUCCAAGACUCUCCCUCCUGCUCCUUAGUCCUCGAGAAAUUCAUCUAAACUUUAUUCUAAGCAUCACAUAUUCAGCCAGGACCCUGGAGAACCAAGUCUGAUUUACGACAAUGUGCAUAUUCUCAGGUACAAUCUAUACGCAAGUACACAACUUAAAUGCUGAUCGUAGGUCCAGAAUCCUGCCCUGAAGUGUCCGGCACAUCUGCCUGGAUUCCCUGAGGUCUUUCAGAAAAGCAAACGCCCUUCUAGCCAGUUUCCCAUUCAGGUUAAGGUUUGGGGGAAAGUAUUUGUUUCUAAAGCUUCACAACAGUCUUAAAAGCUACUUGAUUCCCAUGCUAUGAAUUCCACAUCUGAAUCUCCAGAAUGAUGUCAUACCUCUCUAGAUAUCCAGGGGGUAGUACAUGGCAUGCUGUCCUUUAACCACUGCCCUUUGUGUGAAUGUGACUCUUUAGUUCCAACCUUGUAUCAUCCGAUAUCUUCACUCCUUGCAGGUUCUUCCUCAUGUCUGUGCUAUUGUCAUCUCUGUUACGCAAAGUUCCUUCAGUUUUCUCUAUUUUUCUAUUUAUCUACGAUUCCCCAACUGUUUCUCUACUUUUCUCUAUAGACAUUUGAACACAGUAUUUGUGUUCUUAAAAGUUAUUUAUUUAUAAAUGCAGUUUUCUUUGCAAAAACAAAUACUUCAAUUGUUAAAGUCAGUAUGGUAUGUAUCUUCUAAAGUGGAAAAGUUCACUAUCUUGAUUUGGGAGAUGGUCACAUGGGGUGUAUAUCCACACACUCAUCAAACUGUAAACUAAAGAUCUGUGCACUUUAUUGUACACAUAUUAUACCGAAAUUUUAAAAAAUGAAGAAAAAUUCCUAAAUAGGGAAAACCCUUCAGAGAGACAGAGAUAUGCAUGGAUGGAAGACAGAAGAGGAGAGC